CCAAGGAGUCUAGCAUGUGCGCAAGUCAUUGGGAAUUACAAAACCUAAAGGCGCAAUGAAAGUAAAGGUUCGCUUAAGCGAACUGAGGGAUGAUGGACCGUUAUCUACGGAUACGGGCCCGCAAUCCCGGGGCGUCUCACUCUCAUUACGAGAAGAGGCGCACCCAGAGCGUACACGCUGGGACCCGAAAGAUGGUGAACUAUGCCUGGUCAGGUCGAAGUCAGGGGAAACCCUGAUGGAGGACCGUAGCGAUUCUGACGUGCAAAUCGAUCGUCGGAACUGGGUAUAGGGGCGAAAGACUAA
rnacentral:rRNA from 1 species